GAAACCUGCUUCAGCCACGCCUACUAAAAUUGGAAUGAUGCAGAGAGAUUAGCAUGGCCCCUGUGCAAGGAUGACAUGAAAAUUCAUGAAGUGUUCCAUAUUUUU